rnacentral:lncRNA from 1 species
CUCAUUCUCAUACACCCUCUGAUUUUCUCUCAUGUUUUUUUGUAUCUCAUCAUUCUCUUUUUCAGCCAACUCCUUUUCCAUUCUUUCUAUGUUGGCUUUACUUUGUCUCCUUAUGUCAUCCAAACCUUUUAUAAUAUUCUCCCACAAUUGGCCGGGUUGGAUAAUACUACCCUUUGAGUCUCCCCUCGACUCCAUGGUGGAUCCACAAAGAAAAGAAUUUAAGUUUUGGAACAAAAACCCUUCUCUUAGAAACUUUCACAAACACCUUGUUGCAGAAAUUUUUCUGCAACACAGAAACUUCUAAAAUCAGUCCCCAAACCUCCUGCGGUUGUCACCCAAUGGAUGAACCAACCCUCCUGAUGUGUACACCACUCAAUCAACUUCCGACAGAGGUUUUACAAGGAUGAAAAACAGAAAAUAAAAUCUCCCAAUCGGCUACAAGUUCUAGCCCAAUACAAGAUGCAGAAAAUUUUUUUAUGAACCUUAGACUAAGAUAUAUGGGCUGCAGAAUUUUAUUCUCCCUUGGACUAACCAAUAUGGGUUUCAGAAAGUUAAACAGCAAUGAAUCACUUAUAUUUAACUCCCAACCCCAAUCUUCCAACACUCCAAUUCAGAUCUGAAAAUUUCUGCAGGAUCCUCAAACAUCAAGAUGUAUGUAUUGCAGAAUUUCAGGUCUAGGAUAUGUGGUUGCAGAAAUUUUUAGAGACUUCUCAUGCAACUAUGAUCUGAAUUUUACUUUUGGAUCCAAUAAAAUAUGCGAUGAAAACUCAGAUCUGGAAGAUGGUAUUCAAGCGUU